CCUACGGGAGGCAGCAGUGGGGAAUAUUGGGCAAUGGAGGAAACUCUGACCCAGCGACGCCGCGUGCGGGAUGAAGGCCUUCGGGUUGUAAACCGCUUUCAGUAGGGAAGAAGCGAAAGUGACGGUACCUACAAAAGAAGCACCGGCUAACUAUGUGCCAGCAGCCGCGGUAAUACAUAGGGUGCAAGCGUUGUCCGGAAUUAUUGGGCGUAAAGAGCUCGUAGGUCGUUUGUUACGUCGGAUGUGAAAACCUGAGGCUCAACCUCAGGCCUGCAUUCGAUACGGGCAAACUAGAGUUUGGUAGGGGAGACUGGAAUUCCUGGUGUAGCGGUGGAAUGCGCAGAUAUCAGGAGGAACACCAAUGGCGAAGGCAGGUCUCUGGGCCAAUACUGACACUGAGGAGCGAAAGUCUGGGGAGCGAACAGGAUUAGAUACCCUGGUAGUCCAGACCGUAAACGGUGGGCACUAGUUGUGGGAACCUUCCACGGUUUCUGCGACGCAGCUAACGCAUUAAGUGCCCCGCCUGGGGAGUACGAUCGCAAGAUUAAAACUCAAAAGAGUAUACGGACGCGUAGACGUAGUCGACGAAGCACGACGGAGGUAG
rnacentral:rRNA from 1 species